GCCUGUUUAUCAAAAACAUGGCUCCUCGUUAUAUAAAAUUGGGGAGUCGGACCUGCCCAGUGAAAAUUUUUAACGGCCGCGGUACUCUGACCGUGCAAAGGUAGCAUAAUCAUUUGCCUUAUAAUUGAAGGCUAGUAUGAAUGGUUUGACGAGAAUAUAACUGUCUCUAUCCGAUUUAAUAAAAAUUUAUAUUUGGGUGAAGAAGCCCAAAUAAAAUUAAAAGACAAGAAGACCCUAUCGAGCUUGAAAUAAAUUAAUAGAUUAACAACAAUAACUAAUAAAAGUACUAACUAUUAAACAUUUUGGUUGGGGCGACUGAGGAACAAAUAAAGCUUCCUUAUAUACAACUAAAUUUACUAAUAUUGAUCCAAAAAAUUUUGAUUAAUGAAAUUAGUUACCGUAGGGAUAACAGCAUUAUCUUUUUUGAGAGCUCUAAUCGAAAAAAAGGUUUGUGACCUCGAUGUUGGACCAGAAUAUCCUAAAGGUGUAGCAGCCUUUAAGGGUUGGUCUGUUCGACCAUUAAAAUUCUACGUGAUCUGAGUUCA
rnacentral:rRNA from 1 species